rnacentral:rRNA from 1 species
CCUACGGGUGGCAGCAGUGGGGAAUAUUGCACAAUGGGCGAACGCCUGCUGCCGCAACGCCGCGUGAGCGCUGAAGGUCUUAGGGUCUUAAAGCUCUGUCCUCAAGGGAGCUAAUUACCGUACUUGAGUAGGAGGCCACGGCAAACUACGUGCCAGCAGCCGCGGUACUACGUAGGGGGCUAGCGUUAUCCGGAAUUUCUGGGCGUAAAGGGUGCGUAGGUUGUUUCUUAAGUCAGAGGUGAAAGGCUACGGCUCAACCGUAGUAAGCCGUUGAAACUGGGGAACUUGAGUGCAGGAGAGGAGAGUGGAAUUCCAAGUGUAGCGGUGAAAGGCGUAGAUAUUAGGAGGAACACCAGUUGCGAAGGCAGCUCUCUGGACUGUAACUGACGCUGAGGCACGAAAGCGUGGGGAGCAAACAGGAUUAGAUACCCGGGUAGUC